rnacentral:rRNA from 1 species
UACGUAGGCAGCGAGCGUUGUUCGGAGUUACUGGGCGUAAAGAGUGCGUAGGCGGUUUUCUAAGUUUGGUGUGAAAUCUCCCGGCUCAACUGGGAGGGUGCGCCGAAGACUGGAAGGCUUGAGUAUGGGAGAGGUAAGCGGAAUUCCUGGUGUAGCGGUGAAAUGCGUAGAUAUCAGGAGGAACACCUGCGGUGUAGACGGCUUACUGGACCAUAACUGACGCUGAGACACGAAAGCGUGGGUAGCAAACAGG